rnacentral:rRNA from 1 species
CCUACGGGAGGCAGCAGUAGGGAAUCUUCCACAAUGGGCGCAAGCCUGAUGGAGCAACACCGCGUGAGUGAAGAAGGGUUUCGGCUCGUAAAGCUCUGUUGUUGGAGAAGAACGUGCGUGAGAGUAACUGUUCACGCAGUGACGGUAUCCAACCAGAAAGUCACGGCUAACUACGUGCCAGCAGCCGCGGUAAUACGUAGGUGGCAAGCGUUAUCCGGAGUUAUUGGGCGUAAAGCGAGCGUAGGCGGUCGCUUAGGUCUGAUGUGAAAGCCUUCGGCUCAACCGAAGAAGUGCAUCGGAAACCGGGCAACUUGAGUGCAGAAGAGGACAGUGGAACUCCAGGUGUAGCGGUGGAAUGCGUAGAUAUAUGGAAGAACACCAGUGGCGAAGGCGACUGUCUGGUCUGCAACUGACGCUGAGGCUCGAAAGCAUGGGUAGCGAACAGGAUUAGAUACCCUAGUAGUC